UCUUCACAUAAUGUCCCGACCAACUUCAUUUGAGCAGCAGUUCUUUCUAGUAUCCGCCACUAGAACUGACCACCGUCCAUCUCCGGGAUGGACGGCCCGGAUCCUGCUCCAGCGCCGUGAUCUCGCUACUCGGUCCGGCAGAUCUUAGCCUUGGUCAAGAAACCGGUGGCGCUGACCAGGCCUUCUGGUCUGUUGACUCCACAGAGAAAGAGAGAGAGAUUUUCUCCCCCAAUGUUUCCCUGCGUGGAAUUAAUGAACUUUCGCUUGAUCUUGUGAAAAUCUCGCGGGCAAACACUCUGGCCUGCUCAAUCCGGUUGCGGCUUAGAGGUACAGAGCAAAAGAAGAGAGCGUAACGAAGGCAGAAAGAGAGAUAGAAGGGCUUGAUCAACACGAGACGAAACAAAAGGUGGAGGGAGAGAGAGAGCAAGAGGAGGGAGAAAGAGAGUGGGAGCUCAUUAUUGUUCGUGAACCUUGGCAGAAAGCAGAAACUAUGAGUUGCCAUGAGUAUUUUCAAGGCGAAAAAUCAAAUAUGCAGUUUCACAUGAGAGUUAAGGAAAGGAGCUGUUUGGAGUGAAAAUGGUUCCGGAUAUGUAAUUUAUGCCUCUUUUGAUACCUCUAUCUACGACCAUAAACUAAUGGUGAAGGGACACGGUUUAUCUUUUCCGUAGUAUGUUGGAAUAUCUAGUUUAGUCUGUUAGGUGAUUAACCAACAGCAUGAUCAGGAUUCAUUCAUUUGUACCUCUGCUAGUGACAUCUAAGCAAUAUCUGUAGAAACCCUGUGAACUCAUGCUCGUGAAGGUGCAGAACGAUGAUUCUUGGAAAGACCGCAUUUGAAUAUCUGCUCAACAGUUUUCUUUGUUUACACCAUUAGUUUAAAAUUAGCUUUUUCUCUAGUAAAGCAUGUCCUGCAACAAACUUAAACUAGCUUAAUUUUUCGCUACCAACUUGGAAUUCUCAAGUGUCCCUGAAUCAGUUUCCAAGACAACUUGAAGGUCUUCCAUGAACACAAAACCAAGGCCAAACAUGGAGAUUUGAGACCGGCCAUUGAGCUGAGAAAAACUGCCUGCCCAAGUAUUUGCUUUACAUCAUAAGCUAUUCUUCUGCAUAUCAUAGUCACAGUCAUCAACAGCUCACUUUGUGGAAAUAUUUCAAUUUCUUUUCGACAACAGAAAUUUUCAAUCUUGGUUGCAACAUUUUCCAAGUGAAUAUGAUGCAAAAAAUAUAUCAACUGACAUAUCCUCGAGAAGUCCGAGGGAAACCAGAAAAUUUUAAAAUAUCGCUAGACCACUUCCCAGAGUUUUGCCGAGAAUGAGAUGUGCAACUAUGGAAGUACGCUUCUUGCCCGUAAAAGUCAGCUUCCCACAGUUACCCAUAAUAAAACUAAGUGACGUUUUUCAUCAUUGUUAUUUUAAUAUCAAAAAAUUACUCUAGGGUAACCUAAGUACUUCUUAUUAAUUUUUUUAAAGGUAAAGUGAUGUUUUUCAGUGAUUUAACAGUCAACAAAAUAAAUUUAUGAACCUUUUUAAUUAACCAGGGAAAACAUAUAAAUAUAAAAAAUUAGGUGUCCCUUUUUAUUAUUGCCAAACCCGUAAGUAUGUUUUUGAAAGUUUGCUAUAAAUUAAACCGGAAAUCAAUAUUGAGAAAAAUGACAGAUAUAUUCUAUUUUUUAGAAUUGGAGCUUCUUUUUCUUUCCAAGUGAUGUUGAUCACGAGAAAAAAAAAGUUUGAUGGCUAUUCUUAAUCUUUUGUUAAAGCAUUAUGUUGCCAAUCGCUGCCAAUUCAAGAGGGUUUUGAGAAAUGGCCUUAAAGAUGAAGUUGCAUUACUAACGUCACCUGUGAUUGCAAAAAGUGGGAGUUCCAUGACUAUUCUUAUUUUUUUACGAAAAGUAGCCAUACCAAAGCAUUGUUUCUUUCGUGGCUACCUAUUCAAGUGGGUGUUGGGACAAGAAUGAAGUUGCAUUGUCAACGUCAUUUUAAUGUAAUUUAUGAAGUUGUAUCACUAGUUUGGUCUGCAAUGCAAUGUUUUGUCAACAACUGUGCGGCCAAAUAUUAAAUUGUAGAAUGCAAAGCAUACUUCCUGAUCGAACGUUCCUUGUAGUUCCUCUUCCAGAAAAUGCCUAAAUUGAAAACAGAAAUGCAACCAGUCUACCAGAUCAGAACAGAUCUUUUCUUUUUUGGGAAAAACCUUUUAAAUUCCUCUUCGCCACCGGCCUCAUUGGUGACCCCCCGGAAAGCAAUUUCUUGUCUUUGUCUCUUUGCCUCUUCCUCAUCUUCCUCUGCUGCUGCUCCUCCUCCUCCUGGUCCUUUGCCACCAACUUUCUCAGGAGGAGCCCAAUUGCCACCACCAUCACCAUCACUACCACCGCCAUUCUAGCACCUUCUUCAACCACAGUCAUCCCUGCGGUUUCGUGGCAUCAGUGUCGGUUUCGUUGGCGAUUCCUUGAGCAAGAGCAUGUUCAUAUCUCUUGUUUGGUCUUCAGACGAAGUGUAGAAAUAGCGUCCUCGAAGGCGCAUCACGGGUACAUGAGGGGUAGCCAUACGGUCGCACACCAUCGACCGAAUCUUUUAGCAGGUUGUGAUCGAAUUUGAUGGCCAAAGAAACUAGUCAUGAUACCAUAGCCAGAAAUCUUUGUUCCAUAUCCAAAAUUUUCUGGUCAAGUGAAGAAAGAUAUGAUGGUGUAUCUUCAUACAUGUGGUGAUUCAAGUGUAAUGACACCUAUUACUUUUAUUUCAUUUUGUGGAACAGAAGUCUUCAAAUUCUAUAUAUAGGAGAAACUUCUUUUUUCCUUGGACUCACUAUCUAAAGAUAAGUGCAUGAAAUGUUGUAUCCAGUAUAGGAUAUCCUUGACUUUAGUACUAAGCUCGUCAUUUUGUUUACUUUGUGGAAAGUAGGAUGUUACCUCAUGAAUUGCUGCAGUGGCACUGGCAACACAUUUUCCUGUCCUGAAAAGCUGUCAGCUAACUACCGGGAAGGCUGAAAAUUAAAAAUACAACAAAAAAAUCAAGUGUUUGGUGUGCUUGAAAUUGUCAUCAAUCUGAUUAUGGUUUCUAUCAUUUUCUGUUUCUAAUCCCAAUUCCAUACUGAAUUAAUUUUGACGCAUUUUUCUUGUUUUGUGUAAAUUCUUGUUAUUUUAGGUGCUGAUACCUUCAAAGUUCAAACUUGGGCCAUGCAAAUUCACCUGUGGUUCAUAAAUAUUUCACCUGUGCUUCCUCCUAAACCUCUUGAAUGUAGCCAGAUGGUGAAGCAGGCAAUUCGAUAACCUGAAGGUGCAGAAAAUUUGUGAUGAAUAUUGUUGAUCAUCCUUCAUGUUCAAGGACCCUUGUAGUCUUGGGGAGGUGUGGGUGGAAUUAAAGAAUGCAGUAGUGCAUUUCAAUAACAGGCUCUCAAUAUGAAGAUCUUAAGGAAAUUUUUUUCCUUCAAAAUAGGUGAUCAUGUUCACUUAAUUUUUUGUUAUAGAUAGUUUGCAGUGGAAGAGAAGUUCAGAGUAUCAUAGUUAGGGAAAAAGAGAUUGGUUUCCUGAUACACGUGACAAGUAUGCAACAUUUUCUGACUUUAUUGUUGUAAAAGUAUAGAUUAUGUCAUUAUGAAACAUUUCCAGCAAUUUUACUUACUCUUCCUUCACAAAAGAGGAUCAUGAAACAAAAAAAAUUAGUUUGCCUAAUUUUUUAUUAUUUAUAAUUUGGCUUGGAAGAGAAUUUAUCGAAGUACUGAAGGUUGGUGAAAAUAGAUUAUUAUACUAGCUUGCAAAUAUUUUUCCAACUUUACUGGAUUAGAAUUCAUGGGUGUCAAAUAUUAUGUUCAUCACAGUAUUAACCUGACUUUGUGGGCGGAGAAUUCCUUUUUGUCAGUGAGGCAUUUUGAAGGUGGCGACUGUAUUAAAGGUGGGUUUUCCCAUUGGACGAAAGCUUUGCUGCAAGAGCAGCGACCUUUGGAUUCACUAUUUUCUGUCAUAUCUGUUGACAAGGGAGGGUCAGGAGGACAGUCGCACCUGCCAAUUUGAAUUUCAUGACGAUACAUUGGAAAGGUCUUGGACUCCAGUUUAAAGUUUUAAACUGCAGUGUGCAUUUAAUCAAAGGGAAUAUCCUGAAACUGAACUAAAAGCUCCCUCUCUCUGUGUCUCCAAUUGUUCUUGGAGCAGAAAAAUAUUACUGGAGCUGGUUGCUGUCUACUGAUAUUAAGGAUGAAGUAUAUACAGUU